AAAGCAGUUAGAGUAGGGUUAUUUUUGCAAUAAAUUUCAGUCUGAACCGAGAACAGUUUUAGAGCUGCAGACUAUUCGCAGAGAUGGGCACUGCUCACAGUGUCAGUGAUUGAUUAUUUUACUCUAACGAUGAUAGCAAUAAGAAAUUUUGCAGAAGGGUUACACCACACAAAAAUUAGGGGCGAUGCGUUCAGUUAACUGAUCUCUAAAAUUGGGUGCUGAUCAAGCCGAACUGUUCAACGUGCAGAAGAGUUGUGGUGGAUACUGACCAUAUUAGUCUGGCGGUAGACUUGUGAGCAAGUCCAGGCGCUUCUCCUCCAGUUCACUGUUAAGAGGCGUCAUAUCAUCCUGGCGCUUCUUGAGAAAUGUUCCAGUUGCCCGGUCAAGUUUUCGUCGUCGCUAUCUUGCUUUGACUCUGAAGUUUCCACUAAUCUCCUUCUAGUCGCACCCUUUUAUUUUUGCAAAUACAUUUAUGUCACAUAUUUGCACAACACCAUGACACAUUACAAAUUUGAUUUGAGAAGAGGACUCCGAACGCCUCAGAUAUGGUGUUCACAGACGAUCGAGUACCUUGGAAGCAGCCGUUCGAGCCCAAACCACGUCCUUCUGCAUUGCCAUCUGCAAAAGGUUACAGAAGGUUAGUAUCAGGUACUUCGAUUACAAUUUGCUGACAAAUCCAGAUCUCUGUGGCAUUUGGAACCUAUGCGGCUUCUUUUGGAUGACAUCAAACAGGAACAACAUAUUAAUGGGGGUGCUGAGUUAGAGAUCAUCAGAUGAGAAUCGGUUACGCAGUCGACUCAAGUUUUUCACUGCAAAUAAAGUUGUCAUGCGAGAAUAUCAGUACAUUAUUAAGCCUUACUUUGCGACAGUUUUGUGAACCCAAGAUCUUAAGUUGGCAUCAGUCCCGCUUGACAAAUCUCUCUUGUUUCAUAUUAUCCCUCUUUGACAAGUUCUGCAUCAAAAAGAAUCCUUGAAUAGUAUGUUCAGUUCUGCAAAAAGUUCAAUGGAAUUCUUGAGAUGGAUGCUUUCAGCAGGGUGUCACGGAAGAAUGAUUUACGUUUUCAGCAGGCAUUAACAUCCAUGAAAAAGACUAAUCCUAGAAUAUUUCAAUUGAACGACUAUCACAUUGGAUAAUCCUUAACAAUGCAAACUCAAUUGGGCGACUCGGGGGAGACAUCUCCUCCCCAGUAUCUGGAUCCUUCACAACAUGACCCUCUGCGUGAUUACUCUCAGUUUUCGCACAGCAAUUUGAUUCGGGCACGAUGGAGACAUCAAGCCGAUUCUCAACCUGGCACCUACCAUGCUUUCCAUAAACAGGGUUUUGAUGUCCAGCACUAAUCUGGCGAUCGUCACAAACUUCUAAAAACUUGAGCCACGAGUGAACCCAAAAGUUGGCCACCACUGAAACGAAUCAGCAGUGAGAGAAUGCUUCCAGUUGCGAAGCGAUGCAUACAUCCCACUCUCAGUGCUCACAACAAAAAUAAACCAACUGUUUGCAGCACCCUGUUAAGCUGCCAUCCAUCAGAAAUUCUGGCGGAAUGUAACGGAAUCUGACGGUGGCGAUGAGCACCUUAAACUUUCUUAUUAUAUAGAUGGUAUAUAUGUUUAUUUAUAUAAAUAUAUAAUCACUUAAGUCAAACCAUGUGCAAUUGAGUAUUGAAAUAAUAUAAAUGAGGAUGCAAGUUUUGGAGUAGUUUU